AGCACAGAACCAUGGUAUCACGUUCAUUUCCCAUUGAAUAUUAAUGUGACCAUGUACUUCAUGGUAAAAAGAACAUCCAAGCGUGAAUAAAUAAUGAAUUAACACUCUUUAAGUUUUUCGUGUACGGUUGAUAUUUUGACCGUCGUGCGGCACGUGUUUUUUUUCUCCUCAAUCAUUUUCGAGCGGUCGGCACCAGCUCGGUUUUCGUGGUUUUAUAUAAUAAAAUUAUAAUCGUAGUCUUCGAAGAUGGGCGCAACGCAAAAUAACUCAACACUGCGAGCGGCUCGUGACACGGUGGCCAAUGGAUUCCGGAAGUGGCUACGAGAUGCUGGUGUGCAAGACAUUUCAGUCCACCGAAUAAUCACAGUGUGGUUGAGUGUGUAAGUAAAAUGUUGAGCUGUUUAAA